GGUUGAUCCUGCCGGAGGCCAUUGCUAUUGGGAUUCGAUUUAGCCAUGCUAGUCGUACGAGUUCAUACUCGUGGCGAAUAGCUCAGUAACACGUGGCCAAACUACCCUUCGGAGCACAAUACCCUCGGGAAACUGAGGUUAAUAGUGCAUACCACAAUCCAGCUGGAAUGAGGAUUGUGCCAAACGCUCCGGCGCCGAAGGAUGUGGCUGCGGCCGAUUAGGUAGACGGUGGGGUAACGGCCCACCGUGCCAAUAAUCGGUACGGGUCAUGAGAGUGAGAACCCGGAGACGGAAUCUGAGACAAGAUUCCGGGCCCUACGGGGCGCAGCAGGCGCGAAACCUUUACACUGCACGCCAGUGCGAUAAGGGAAUCCCAAGUGCGCAGGCAUAGAGCCUGCGCUUUUGUCCACCGUAGGGAGGUGGACGAAUAAGGGCUGGGCAAGACCGGUGCCAGCCGCCGCGGUAAUACCGGCAGCCCGAGUGAUGGCCGAUCUUAUUGGGCCUAAAGCGUCCGUAGCUGGCCGCACAAGUCCAUCGGAAAAUCCACCCGCUCAACGGGUGGGCGUCCGGUGGAAACUGUGUGGCUUGGGACCGGAAGGCGCGACGGGUACGUCCGGGGUAGGAGUGAAAUCCCGUAAUCCUGGACGGACCGCCGAUGGCGAAAGCACGUCGCGAAGACGGAUCCGACAGUGAGGGACGAAAGCCAGGGUCUCGAACCGGAUUAGAUACCCGGGUAGUCCUGGCCGUAAACAAUGUCUGUUAGGUGUGGCUCCCACUACGAGUGGGUGCUGUGCCGUAGGGAAGCCGCUAAACAGACCGCCUGGGAAGUACGUCCGCAAGGAUGAAACUUAAAGGAAUUGGCGGGGGAGCACUACAACCGGAGGAGCCUGCGGUUUAAUUGGAUUCAACGCCGG
rnacentral:rRNA from 1 species